GACGAACGCUGGCGGCGUGCUUAACACAUGCAAGUCGAACGGAAAGACCCUGCUUUUGUGGGGUGCUCGAGCGGCGAACGGGUGAGUAACACGUGAGUAACCUGCCCUUGACUUUGGGAUAACUUCAGGAAACUGGGGCUAAUACCGGAUAGGAGCUCCUGCUGCAUGGUGGGGGUUGGAAAGUUUCGGCGGUUGGGGAUGGACUCGCGGCUUAUCAGCUUGUUGGUGGGGUAGUGGCUUACCAAGGCUUUGACGGGUAGCCGGCCUGAGAGGGUGACCGGCCGCAUUGGGACUGAGAUACGGCCCAGACUCCUACGGGAGGCAGCAGUGGGGAAUAUUGCACAAUGGGCGGAAGCCUGAUGCAGCAACGCCGCGUGCGGGAUGACGGCCUUCGGGUUGUAAACCGCUUUCGCCUGUGACGAAGCGUGAGUGACGGUAAUGGGUAAAGAAGCACCGGCUAACUACGUG
rnacentral:rRNA from 1 species